AGAGUUUGAUCCUGGCUCAGAUUGAACGCUGGCGGCAUGCCUUACACAUGCAAGUCGAACGGUAACAGGUUAAGCUGACGAGUGGCGAACGGGUGAGUAAUAUAUCGGAACGUGCCCAGUUGUGGGGGAUAACUACUCGAAAGAGUGGCUAAUACCGCAUGAGACCUGAGGGUGAAAGCGGGGGAUCGCAAGACCUCGCGCAAUUGGAGCGGCCGAUAUCAGAUUAGCUAGUUGGUGGGGUAAAAGCCCACCAAGGCCACGAUCUGUAGCUGGUCUGAGAGGACGACCAGCCACACUGGGACUGAGACACGGCCCAGACUCCUACGGGAGGCAGCAGUGGGGAAUUUUGGACAAUGGACGCAAGUCUGAUCCAGCCAUGCCGCGUGCGGGAAGAAGGCCUUCGGGUUGUAAACCGCUUUUGUCAGGGAAGAAACGGCUUUGGUUAAUACCUGAGGCUAAUGACGGUACCUGAAGAAUAAGCACCGGCUAACUACGUGCCAGCAGCCGCGGUAAUACGUAGGGUGCAAGCGUUAAUCGGAAUUACUGGGCGUAAAGCGUGCGCAGGCGGUUAUGCAAGACAGAUGUGAAAUCCCCGGGCUNCACCUGGGAACUGCAUUUGUGACUGCAUGGCUAGAGUACGG
rnacentral:rRNA from 1 species